rnacentral:rRNA from 1 species
UACGGAGGAUCCGAGCGUUAUCCGGAAUCAUUGGGUUUAAAGGGUCCGUAGGCGGCCUUAUAAGUCAGCGGUGAAAGUUUUUGGCUUAACCAAAAAAUUGCCGUUGAUACUGUAGGGCUUGAAUUUUUGUGAAGUAACUAGAAUAUGUAGUGUAGCGGUGAAAUGCUUAGAUAUUACAUGGAAUACCAAUUGCGAAGGCAGGUUACUAACAAACGAUUGACGCUGAUGGACGAAAGCGUGGGUAGCGAACAGG